ensembl:snRNA U6 U6 spliceosomal RNA
GUGCUUGUUUCAGCAGCAUAUAUAAUGAAAUUGGAAAGAUACAGUGAAUAUUAGCAUGGUCCCUGCACAAUGAUGACAUACAAAUUCAUGAAGUGUUCCGUAUUAUU